ACCUGGUUGAUCCUGCCAGUGCGUAUACGCUCUCUUUAAAGACUAAGCCAUGCACGUGCCUAGUUCAUACAUUUAAAAUGUGAGACUGCGGACGGCUCAGUAUAUCAGUUAUAAUCUGCCCGAUUGUAUAGGUUAUUGGAUAACCGUGGGAAAUCUAGAGCUAAUACAUGUACCUUUGUAUGUAGCUUCGGCUGCAUAUUAUGCAUUUAUUAGACAAUACCAACCGUAUCUAUGAUACGUGGUGAAUCUAGAUAACUUUGCAGAUCGUAUGGCCUUUGUGCUGACGACAUUUCGGUUGAGUUUCUGCCCUAUCACCUUAAGCCCAGUGUAUUGAACUGGGCUGGGGAUAACGGGUAACGGAGGAUCAGGGUUCGAUCCCGGAGAGGGAGCCUGAGAAACGGCUACCACAUCCAAGGAAGGCAGCAGGCGCGAAAAUUACCCAAUCCAGACAGUGGGAGGUGGUAACGAAGAGUACCAAAUAACUGCCAAUUGGUAGUUAGUUUGGAAUGGAAUCAAUAUAAGCAAUUGAUUGAGCAACAACUGGAGGGCAAGUCUGGUGCCAGCAGCCGCGGUAAUUCCAGCUCCAGUAGCGUAUCUCAAAGUUGCUGCGCUUAAAAAGCUCGUAGUUGGGUCAGUAACUAUAUUAAAAGAUGUACUUGUAUGAUUAUUAAUAAUUUGAUUGCUUUCAUGAGUAUCUCGUAUACAAUUGUAGCAUUAAUGUUUAAUAGAUAAACAUGUUACAUUUAUUUUUAAUAUAGUAGUUGCACGUAAGUAUAAUAAUUGACCUUAAGUGUGUUGAUUAUUGUGUCUUACGGAAUGUGCCUUGAGUAAAUCAAAGUGCCCAAAGCAGGCAGUAUGCUUGAAUGUUGAUAGCAUGGAACGAAUAAUCUUGUAGAGUGUAUAUUGAAUAAUGGUAUUAUAGUUCACAGUUUUUACUGUUGAUAUUUAUAAUUACUACAAUAUACAACAACGACCACCAAUAACGGAUGUUGGUUCCGUAUUGGGGUAAUGAUUAAGAGGAGCGAUUGGGGGCAUUGGUAUUUGGCAGCGAGAGGUGAAAUUCUAGAACCUGCCAAGGACUAACAAAUGCGAAGGCAUCUGUCCAGAUCGUAUCCAUUAAUCAAGAACGAUAGUGAGAGGUUCGAAGACGAUCAGAUACCGUCCUAGUUCUCACUGUAAACUAUGCCGACUCGGGAUUAGUUUUGAGUAAAAUAUAAACGCUCGAGGUUGGUCCCCUGGGAAACCUAAAGUUUUUCGGUUGCGGGGGGAGUAUGAUCGCAAGAUUGAAACUUAAAGGAAUUGACGGAAGGGCACCACCAGGGGUGGAGCCUGCGGCUUAAUUUGACUCAACACGGGAAAACUUACUUGAUCCGGACAUUAAAAGGAUAAUCAGACCAAUAGAUCUUAUUUGAUAUAAUGAUUGGUGGUGCAUGGCCGUUCUUAGUUCGUGGAGUGAUUUGUCAGGUUAAUUCCGGUAACGGACGAGAUCACAAUCUCCAUUUGACGAGCUAGAGUAGAUAUGUGGACAAUACGUAAAUAUGCUCAAACAUGUUUACUAUUGCUUCUGUGUAUUGUAGGCAAUAUGUAUAAAGGACAAUGAUUAUGGAGUAUGUUUGGUAGUGGCAACAUUAUUAAAUAUAUGAAAUAAUUAUUUGUUAUACUUUCAUAUUCCCUCUAGUGAUACAAUGAAUUAUUGUCGUGAUAAGGAUUUGUUAUCAUGGAGAGACAACGGAACAUUAUAAAUCCGAGGAAGUGUGGCUAUAACAGGUCUGUGAUGCCCUUAGAUGUUCAGGGCUGCACGCGCGCUACAAUGGUGAUGACAACGAGUGUCUGAAUCGAAAGAUUUGGGUAAUCUUGUAAUCAUCACCGUGAUGGGAAUUGAUGUUUGUAAAUACGUCAUGAAAGAGGAAUCCCUAGUACGUGCGAUUCAUGAGAUCGCGCGGAUUUAGUCCCUGCCCUUUGUACACACCGCCCGUCGCUACUACCGAGUGAAUAGUGUCAUAAUGCCUUGGGAGCGGACGUUACGCGGGUCUCGUAUCCGGUGUAGCGCUGCAAUCAGCGUAAAAUGGCGCGAUUUCGAGGAAGUAAAAGUCGUAACAAGGCUUCCGUAGGUGAACCUGCGGAAG
rnacentral:rRNA from 1 species